ACAUGCCUACAACAUAGCGUUAAUGCAUUGGAUCCCAUUUGAACUUCGCAGUUAAGCGCGCUCGGGAUAGAGUAGUACUCGGAUGGGUGACUGCUCAAGAAGUCCUAGUAUUUUACAUGCC
rnacentral:rRNA from 1 species